CAGGCUUAACACAUGCAAGUCGAGGGGCAGCAUGGUCUUAGCUUGCUAAGGCCGAUGGCGACCGGCGCACGGGUGAGUAACACGUAUCCAACCUGCCGUCUACUCUUGGACAGCCUUCUGAAAGGAAGAUUAAUACAAGAUGGCAUCAUGAGUCCGCAUGUUCACAUGAUUAAAGGUAUUCCGGUAGACGAUGGGGAUGCGUUCCAUUAGAUAGUAGGCGGGGUAACGGCCCACCUAGUCUUCGAUGGAUAGGGGUUCUGAGAGGAAGGUCCCCCACAUUGGAACUGAGACACGGUCCAAACUCCUACGGGAGGCAGCAGUGAGGAAUAUUGGUCAAUGGGCGAGAGCCUGAACCAGCCAAGUAGUGUGAAGGAUGACUGCCCUAUGGGUUGUAAACUUCUUUUAUAAAGGAAUAAAGUCGGGUAUGGAUACCCGUUUGCAUGUACUUUAUGAAUAAGGAUCGGCUAACUCCGUGCCAGCAGCCGCGGUAAUACGGAGGAUCCGAGCGUUAUCCGGAUUUAUUGGGUUUAAAGGGAGCGUAGAUGGAUGUUUAAGUCAGUUGUGAAAGUUUGCGGCUCAACCGUAAAAUUGCAGUUGAUACUGGAUAUCUUGAGUGCAGUUGAGGCAGGCGGAAUUCGUGGUGUAGCGGUGAAAUGCUUAGAUAUCACGAAGAACUCCGAUUGCGAAGGCAGCCUGCUAAGCUGCAACUGACAUUGAGGCUCGAAAGUGUGGGUAUCAAACAGGAUUAGAUACCCUGGUAGUCCACACGGUAAACGAUGAAUACUCGCUGUUUGCGAUAUACUGCAAGCGGCCAAGCGAAAGCGUUAAGUAUUCCACCUGGGGAGUACGCCGGCAACGGUGAAACUCAAAGGAAUUGACGGGGGCCCGCACAAGCGGAGGAACAUGUGGUUUAAUUCGAUGAUACGCGAGGAACCUUACCCGGGCUUAAAUUGCAGAUGAAUUACGGUGAAAGCCGUAAGCCGCAAGGCAUCUGUGAAGGUGCUGCAUGGUUGUCGUCAGCUCGUGCCGUGAGGUGUCGGCUUAAGUGCCAUAACGAGCGCAACCCUUGUUGUCAGUUACUAACAGGUUCCGCUGAGGACUCUGACAAGACUGCCAUCGUAAGAUGUGAGGAAGGUGGGGAUGACGUCAAAUCAGCACGGCCCUUACGUCCGGGGCUACACACGUGUUACAAUGGGGGGUACAGAGGGCCGCUACCACGCGAGUGGAUGCCAAUCCCAAAAACCUCUCUCAGUUCGGACUGGAGUCUGCAACCCGACUCCACGAAGCUGGAUUCGCUAGUAAUCGCGCAUCAGCCACGGCGCGGUGAAUACGUUCCCGGGCCUUGUACACACCGCCCGUCAAGCCAUGGGAGCCGGGGGUACCUGAAGUGCGUAACCGCGAGGAGCGCCCUAGGGUAAAACUGGUGACUGG
rnacentral:rRNA from 1 species